rfam:Camelus ferus unplaced genomic scaffold scaffold2048, whole genome shotgun sequence.
GAAGGUAUAGCUCCAUGGUACAGCACAUGCUUAGCAUGCACGAGGUCCUGGGUUCAAUCCCCAGUACCUCCA